rnacentral:rRNA from 1 species
UACAGAGGGUGCGAGCGUUAAUCGGAAUUACUGGGCGUAAAGGGCGCGUAGGCGGUGCCAUGAGUGUGAUGUGAAAGCCCCGGGCUUAACCUGGGAAGUGCAUCGCAAACUAUGGAACUGGAGUAUAUGAGAGGGUGGCGGAAUUUCCGGUGUAGCGGUGAAAUGCGUAGAGAUCGGAAGGAACGUCGAUGGCGAAGGCAGCCACCUGGCAUAAUACUGACGCUGAGGCGCGAAAGCGUGGGUAGCGAACAGG